UACGGAGGGUGCAAGCGUUAUCCGGAUUCACUGGGUUUAAAGGGUGCGUAGGCGGGCAGGUAAGUCAGUGGUGAAAUCUUUGGGCUUAACCCGAAAACUGCCAUUGAUACUAUCUGUCUUGAAUAUUGUGGAGGUUAGCGGAAUAUGUCAUGUAGCGGUGAAAUGCUUAGAUAUGACAUAGAACACCAAUUGCGAAGGCAGCUAACUACACACAUAUUGACGCUGAGGCACGAAAGCGUGGGGAUCAAACAGG
rnacentral:rRNA from 1 species